rnacentral:rRNA from 1 species
CAGCAGCCACGGGAAUACGAAGGGGGCUAGCGUUGCUCGGAAUUACUGGGCGUAAAGGGCGCGUAGGCGGAUGUUUAAGUCAGAGGUGAAAGCCCAGGGCUCAACCUUGGAACUGCCUUUGAUACUGGACAUCUUGAGUGUGGGAGAGGUGAGUGGAACUCCGAGUGUAGAGGUGAAAUUCGUAGAUAUUCGGAAGAACACCAGUGGCGAAGGCGACUCACUGGCCCAUUACUGACGCUGAGGCGCGAAAGCGUGGGGAGCAAACAGGAUUAGAUACCCGAGUAGUCCCUGUCUCUUAUAC